UACCGAGGGUGCAAGCGUUGUUCGGAAUUAUUGGGCGUAAAGCGCGUGUAGGCGGCUUUGCAAGUCGGGUGUGAAAGCCCUCAGCUCAACUGAGGAAGUGCGCCCGAAACUGCAGAGCUUGAGUACCGGAGAGGAUGGCGGAAUUCCCCAAGUAGAGGUGAAAUUCGUAGAUAUGGGGAGGAACACCGGUGGCGAAGGCGGCCAUCUGGACGGAUACUGACGCUGAGACGCGAAAGCGUGGGGAGCAAACAGG
rnacentral:rRNA from 1 species